UACGGAGGAUCCAAGCGUUAUCCGGAAUCAUUGGGUUUAAAGGGUCCGUAGGCGGUUAGAUAAGUCAGUGGUGAAAGCCCAUCGCUCAACGGUGGAACGGCCAUUGAUACUGUUUAACUUGAAUUAUUAGGAAGUAACUAGAAUAUGUAGUGUAGCGGUGAAAUGCUUAGAUAUUACAUGGAAUACCAAUUGCGAAGGCAGGUUACUACUAAUACAUUGACGCUGAUGGACGAAAGCGUGGGUAGCGAACAGG
rnacentral:rRNA from 1 species